rnacentral:tRNA from 7 species
GCUAGGAUGGCCGAGUGGUCUAAGGCGCCCGACUCAAGUUCGGGUCUCGAGAGAGGCGUGGGUUCAAAUCCCACUUCUAGCA